CAGCAGCCGCGGGAAUACGAAGGGUGCAAGCGUUAAUCGGAAUUACUGGGCGUAAAGCGUGCGUAGGCGGUUCGUUAAGUCUGUUGUGAAAGCCCCGGGCUCAACCUGGGAAUGGCAGUGGAUACUGGCAAGCUAGAGUGUGUCAGAGGAUGGUGGAAUUCCCGGUGUAGCGGUGAAAUGCGUAGAGAUCGGGAGGAACAUCAGUGGCGAAGGCGGCCAUCUGGGACAACACUGACGCUGAGGCACGAAAGCGUGGGGAGCAAACAGGAUUAGAGACCCCCGUAGUCCCUGUCUCUUACAC
rnacentral:rRNA from 1 species